GGUGGGGUAACGGCUCACCUAGGCGACGAUCCCUAGCUGGUCUGAGAGGAUGACCAGCCACACUGGAACUGAGACACGGUCCAGACUCCUACGGGAGGCAGCAGUGGGGAAUAUUGCACAAUGGGCGCAAGCCUGAUGCAGCCAUGCCGCGUGUAUGAAGAAGGCCUUCGGGUUGUAAAGUACUUUCAGCGGGGAGGAAGGGAGUAAAGUUAAUACCUUUGCUCAUUGACGUUACCCGCAGAAGAAGCACCGGCUAACUCCGUGCCAGCAGCCGCGGUAAUACGGAGGGUGCAAGCGUUAAUCGGAAUUACUGGGCGUAAAGCGCACGCAGGCGGUUUGUUAAGUCAGAUGUGAAAUCCCCGGGCUCAACCUGGGAACUGCAUCUGAUACUGGCAAGCUUGAGUCUCGUAGAGGGGGGUAGAAUUCCAGGUGUAGCGGUGAAAUGCGUAGAGAUCUGGAGGAAUACCGGUGGCGAAGGCGGCCCCCUGACGAAGACUGACGCUCAG
rnacentral:rRNA from 1 species